GGUCUCGUGGCGCAAUGGCUAGCGCAUAGAGCUUCUAAACUGAGAAGUGGAGUUUUACCCCUUUUCAGAACAACUCUAAGGCUGCGGGUUCGAGUCCCGCCGUGACCU
rfam:Pseudozyma antarctica T-34 DNA, contig: scaffold00007.